GAGACUCCAAUUUUCCAUCUACAGCCAAGGAGGAGAAAGCAGGGACCCUUUAAACUUUAGCAGCCUGGGGGUUAUGUGUGGUGUCAGCCAUCUGGCUGAUGUCAUUGGUGACUCCUCAGCCAGCCAGAGGGCAGAGGAGACUCACGAGGCCUUGAAAGAGAAUCCAGGAUUGUUGGCUGGUCUUUGCUUCCUUUAAUGAGUGGCUACAUAGACAAUGUCAUAAACCAAAUGACGGUUUAUUCUUCAGAGAAGCAUCGUUGCAGUGGAAGAGUUUGGAUGAGAACAAGGCGCUACAAAUCAAUCAGGGAUUUGUUCUGUAGGCCUGUCAGGUCUAUAAAUAGCUAGACUCCUGCUUACCAAGUAGUGGAUGGAUGUACAUCUCCAGGCACAUUUGGAUUUACUAUUUCACUUGAACAGUUGGUGUUUACUGGCAGCAACAAGAACAAAAUUUAUAGCAGCAAAUGGAAGCUGAACUCGCAUGCUGGCUUUGCACUGAAGAACUUUGUGUUUGCCAUUUCCUAAUUGUGAAAACAAUAUGUCCAAGAUUUUGCAGUCAUCAGCAUUCUGAUGUAACGACUUCCAUCUGGUCAAAGGAAGAAAUUCAGAACCUCUAUCUCCUUUUGAAUUCUACUUCAGUGCAAAGGUAACUGGCUUAGGAGAAUGUUGGAAGACAAGAAAUUCAGACAAUACAUUCUGAAAAGCGACUAUAACAUCCACUUUUCCAGGGGAUAAUUUUCCUGAAGAGCAAACAGGGGUAGGGAAUUUGUCACGAUCUUCUUAAUGGAAGCGGCUCUAAUUGGAGCAAGAUGACAGGAUUACUUGGAGGUGAGAGAGGAUAAAGAAAGCAGGAUGAUUUGUGGCGCGUUCCAAUCGGAGGUAAUAAGAAGUCAGAGAUCCACAGAGACCAUGCAAUUGGAGACCAAUACGAAGGCAAUGGAGGCCAACAACGUGGUAAUAAGAAGUGGUUUAACAUCCCAUCUCAUCCCAUCUGGCAUUCAGAAUUUGGCACUGGUUAUUGAAAUAUGAAGCUCCUGAUGGUCCUCACACUCCUACAGUGACCUUCUUCACUCAUUAGCCAGGAGUUGAAGCUGAAAGAAAUGUAGCAUAAUAUCUCAAAUGCUUGCUUUGCAUUUUUUAUAUUCAUUGAUUCAACAAUUAUUUACUGAGCACUAUAUUGCAUUUUAGGAAUGGCAUUAGGUACUGGAGAUAUGGGCUAACACACAUUUCUUGGCUACCCAUUAUAGAUAAUUACAUGAGAAACACAAAAUAUGCAUAGAAGGACCCUAAUUUCGAGUCAAACAACCCAGGAAGAAGACUUCUCUAUAGCUAUCUUUAUACUUUAUAUUAAUCUUUUUCUUUGUAUUUUAUGUUCAUCUUCUUCUUCCUGAAAUGAGAAGGGAAGGAAAAUAGAAUUCUAGAAAUAACCUUACAGCUGCCCUUCACUCUAUGGAAAAAGUGAGCUCUUGACAGGAAAGGGGUUCUAUCCAUGAUCUUACAAUUCCUAAACAGCAACAGCAUCAUGGACGUAUUUGUUCCUGGCGUCAUAAGCCUGCAUACGGUAGGCAUUCAGUUAAUAGGUACUGAUUGGUCUAACAGAGGAAGCUGGGCUUGAUUAUAAAAUAAACUAGGCUAUGAAAUCAUGCCUCCUAAAAGCUCAUUAAAGGCAGCAACACGGGAUGGGGACUGUAAGGAAGUUGUCUCCCACCUGCCUCCCUCCUCAGACACACAUCAUUCCGCAGAUGUGAAAACGACCCAGACUCUGCCCGCAUGUGGCCUCCCGGACCGGGCAGUAGGGCCUUGCCCCUACCCUCAUGAAGACUGUCGGCUGUGUUACAGAACUGCUGCUCUGUCUCUGACUCCCCUCACUCCCAUGCUCUGUUGGAAACUCAAGUUGUGAAACCACAAAACACAGAAAGGAAGUGGUCAACUAUUGCACAUACUCAAGCUAUGUAGUCUCAGUUUAUUCCAUUCUUGCAGGAUCAUUGUAGGAAGGCAUAAGAGUCCUGCUUACUGGUGAGCCACUGAACACAAACUCCCUUCUCACCUCUGCCUUGGAUCCCGCCAUGCCUGAGGUCUAGGGCUAGAAGCGUUGUUUCAUCCACAUUAAUUCCGGUCUUGGGCAACGUGGCUAUUUUCUGACCUGUCUGUCUUCCCACCCUAGUGGUGAAUUCUCUUUCUGGGAUCUCAACUCCUUCUCCUGUCACCCAGCUUUUUCCGAGCAACCCCAGUCCAUCUGGCAUAUCAUUAGAAUGUUAAACCUAAAACGGUAAGCCAUUCUGUGAAUACCUUUAAGUAACAGGAUAUUAAAAUGAGACUUUUCCUGUUUUCUCAGUGCUAGCUGACAUCUUUGAGCUGAGAAAAAAAAAUAUUGUUAAAAAUGCUCAUCUAUUCUCAGGAGAUGUCAUCUGCUAAGGAGUGACCAAAAAAAUGGUCCAAUAACCCUGAAACCAUCGCUCAAAUCUUAGCUACGCAAGGGGAGACUUGUAAAUUAAUGAGGACGGCAAGGAUUUCAUGAGACAGAGCUUUCAGGCUGCUAAAAUGCUUCCUCCUCCCUUCUCAUGUGUUUUCCCCUCAUCUUACGCAAAUAAGAGGGGGCCUUCAGAGAAUUACUUGGAGAGCUGACCUAGGACCCCUAGGCUUUGGGGAACAUAGAAUGUAUUAGUGUCUAUUGCUGCUGAAACAAAUUAGCACACAUUUAACAGCUUAAAAAUAGCAAAAUUACUACCUCACAGUUCUGUAGGUUAGAAGUCCAGUGGGCGCGGCUGGUGUGUGGGCUUCAAGCCUCACAGGGCUGAAAUCAAGGUGUUGGCCAGGCUGUACUCCCUCCUAGAGGCUCUAAUGAAGCAUCUGUUUCCAGGCCUCUGCGCCUUGUUGGCGGAAUUCAGUUCAAUUUGCCUGAUGGACUGAGGUCCCUGCUUCCCUGCGGGCUGUCGGCGGGAACUGCCACUGGCUCCUUGCAGCCUCUCUCUGAUUCUUGCACAAGGGCACCUACAUCUCAGAGCCAGCGAGAGUGUGAGUGUGUGGAAUCCUUCUCACGAGGCCUCAUCUCUCUGACUUUCGUCGGGAAAUGUUCUCUGCUUUUAAAGGAUCAUGUAAUUAUUUUGAGCCUACCCGAUAAUCCAGGAUAAUCCCCUCAUCUAAAAAUCUGUUACCUUAACCACAUCUGCAAAGUCCCUGUUGCCGUGUAAUGUAAGCUAUUCACAGGUUCUGGGGAUUAGGAAAAGGACAUCUUUGGUGGGGGCCUUAUUCAGCCUACCACAUAGAGAUUAGUACCUGAAAAGCCAGCAGGUGAGAAGCUAGACAGAGCAGCCGGUGGCAGCUAAAGGAGAAAGGGGGCGAGAGCUGGAGAAGUCGCACUUCCGCCGAUGGCGCAGCAAAGGGGAUGUUGCCCUGGAGGACUCAGGGAACGGAACUGGGCUAUCAGCCGAGAAUGGGGCUCCACUCAAAAGGAGGAACCAACAGGAGACACAAGGAACCCCAGCAGGAAGAAGUCGGAGAUGGAGGAGGGGAAGUCAUAGCUGGAGGAGACGUGUGUUAGGAAGCUACAAUGGCAGCUCCCUAGUGGAGGUGUUUCGGAAAAACUCCGAAGAUUCCACUUGAGAAAAUCAUCGGCCUUCAGACAACGUCUAUGCCAGAUAAUGCUACCAAAUCACAACCUUGCCUUUCCUCCCUACUGCUGUUCUGAUGUGGGAGGACCCAAAGGCAGCAGAAGAGCCAAAGAAGAGUAGCAGAAAGGUUUAGGUGCAGUCAUCUUGGAUUUGAGUCGUGCUUGUGAAUUUUCAUGUGUUACAACAACCAGGAUGCAAAGUAUUGUUCCUGGGUGUGUCUAAGGGUGUUGCCAAAGGAGAUUAACAUCUGAGUCAGUGGACUGGGAGAGGCUGACCCAGCUGCAAUGUGAGUGGGCACAAUCUAAUCAGCUGCCAGUACGGCCAGACUAAAGCAGGCAGAAGAAGGUGGGAGAAGCCGACUUGCUGAGUCUUACGGCUUUCAUCUUUUCUCCCCUCCUGGAUGCUUCCUGCCCUCGAACAUCAGACUCCAAGUUCUUCAGCUUUUGGACUCUCGCACUUAGACCAGUGGUUUGCCAGGGGCUCUCGGGCCUUCGGCCACAGACUGAAGGAUACACUGUCAGCUUCCCUACUUUUGGGGUUUUGGGACUGGGACUGGUUUCCUUCCUCCUCAGCUUGCAGACAGCCUAUCAUGGGAUUUCACCUUGUGAUCGUGUGAGUCAAUUCUCCUUAAUAAACUCCCCUUCACAUAUACAUCUAUCUUAUUCUGUCCCUCUAGAGAACCCUGACUAAUACAUCUAGCAUUAAAAAAAAAUGCAAGUGAUAAACUGGGAAAUAAUAUUCAUAAUAUAUAUGACAGAUUAAAUGUUUGUUAUUUUUUGUUAUAUUAUUUAUGUUACUACCAAAAUGGCAAAAAAAUGAAUAAAAAUAAUACAAAAUUAUAAACAGAAGAAGAGACAAUGGACAAAGGAAAUAAAAUUUUUGAAAGAUGGAGAACAGGUAAAAAGAUCAACAGAACUGAAAACUCAAGCAUCAAGUAACUGUGAAGGAAAUGCCAGUGAGAAGCAAGCCAACCCUUGCAAGGCAGCACUAGAAAGUCUAGGCAUGGGAAGUACUAGCUAGUGUGGAAGGCAGUGCAUUUCACAACAGGAACAACGUAACAUCCAAUAAGUAUGACCAAUACCUUCAAAAUCACUAGAAAAGAAAUGCAAAUUUUAAAGAGAUUUAUAUCAGGCUGCAAAGGCUGAAAAUAUAAUAUUCAGCAUUUUUUUUUCAUUCAUUCUUCAAAUAUAUGCCAGAAGCCAGACAACCCUUUUGAAGAGCUUUUCUGCAAAGGCCCAUUUACAUUUCCUUCACAGAGAAAGGUGAGAGCAAGUAGAGAAGAGCAUGGGGUUGUGUGGAUUGUGAGAAUGGCCCCGUUUCUUCACUCAUCUAUAUAAAGAAGCCCUUUGCCACGUAACUUUGCAGUGUCCUCCCAACAUGGCUGGAGUGACCUGCCCCAUCCUUGACUCUCAGCUUGCCAUGUGACAUGCUUUGGUGUAAAGAAUAAGGUGGAAGGGAUGAUGUCCUGGUUUUAAGCCCAGAGGUAGGCCUGGGCUCCUGUGUUUCUGUAUCAUUAUGAGAGCAUGGCUGGGUUCACCUGCUUUUCCAGGAGGAGGAACCAGUGGGAACACUAAGAUAGCCAUAAACUUCUUCUCUAUUACACUAUACCCUUUUCUAAUCUGUAUUUUGACUUUGUUAACAAAUCCUCAAGUCAAUA
ensembl:lncRNA DLEU1 deleted in lymphocytic leukemia 1